rnacentral:tRNA from 1 species
AGGUCUUGGGGUGUAACACGUAUGGUUGCAAACCAUAAGAUGCAGAAUAAUAUCUGCCGGGACUUG